rnacentral:lncRNA from 1 species
UUUUUUUUUUUUUUUUCCCUCAAUUCUAUCAAAUCUAGUUGAUAAUAAAGUGAAUGGAACUCACUAAUUAUAGGGCCAAUAUCCGAUUUUCUUAGCAUCCUCUGCAGCAAAGCAGCAACAAGAGACAUCUUCUCCAACAGCAAGGACGACGAUUUUCAGGUGUUUCGGAACUGGAGUGCCUGGAAUUGGACGAUGGCGAACAGGCUGCGCAACAUCGGAAAUCAUAUGCACUUUAUUUUUCUCUACUGUUGCUUGAGCUGCAUGAACCACAUGCACUACCGAAUUAGUUUCCAUUAAUGUAAAAAUUUUGAGAUGCUAGAAAGGAUAACUUACUGAUGUCAUUGGAGACGGUAGCAGUCACCAUCACCAUGGAAGCAGCGUCGUAUAUUAUGAACAAAGAUAGAGAAGGUAGAGAAUUGCCUUCUUGGGAACCAUUAUGAUGUCGGAAAGAAAUAUUUUACGUUGUUUUGCUGUAUUGUAGACACUGAUUUAAGUAUAAACGAGUCGAAGAUUAGGUCUCAUUUUAUAGGAGAGGAUGAAGGAAAAGAAAUGGAAGUUUCCCUGUUUGAUCCAUCCCACCGUAGAAAAGAAACCAAUCAAAUAGAAGGUAGUUUCCUAGUAACCUCGUGGAAUUAAAAU